rnacentral:tRNA from 1 species
GUUAAUGUAGCUUAAAUAUUUGCAAAGCAAGACACUGAAAA